rnacentral:lncRNA from 1 species
AGUUAGGGCAUAUUACUAAUAAUUUUGGCAUUUAUGACUAGGCUUUCAUCCUAUUCUCUUUCUUAGAAUAUGUACCCUUUAUGUGAAUAUAUAUUUGCUAGGCAGGUUUUUGUUUGUUUGCCUGUUUUCAGGUUUGAAUUCUAUUGAUGAGAUUUCUAAACAAAAUUGGAAGAGAAAGAUGGGCACUACUAUUGUGGUAGUCAUGGAUUUUGUGGUCUUUAAAGGACCUGGUUUUCUUGGUACAUUACUGUCAGCUAAACAAAUAAAUGUUCUUUGAAAAGUCUGCUUUUAAAUGCUAAUGGAAAUAUUGAUUUUUCACCUUUUUUUUUCAACCAGAAAGUUCUUAUUUACCUCCCAAUCUCUGUUCUGAGUUCUGCUGUCUUAAGUGUUAGUGUCGUCGCAGAUCCUGAUUCUGUUCAGAUAUGGGAGAUCUACCACAGCCUGAGUACUUCAAGGGAGGAGGAUUCCUACAAGUCUAGCAGACUCUCCCUCCCAUCAAAUAUGGACAACAAGCAUCAUGGUGACGAGGACCAUUGUGACACUCCCGUGACUGAGGUGAAAUAAACCUUUGCCCUGAGCUAAUGCUGACCCGGGAGUGAAAGAACUCAGACUUGUGUCAAUGUAUUGAGCUCAGCAUCCAACAACGCUGUCACCCUCUCUCUGUCUGAGCUUCCUGAUAUACGAGCCAAUAAAUCCACUGCUGGAGCAAUUUGGAGCUG